UGCCAAGCAUGUACAAGGAGCAGCAGCGGAGCUGUGGGGAUGUGGAAGCUGCACCCAGGGCAGAGCUUGCCUCUGACACGCUCUGAUAGCUCUGUCCAGUGUCUGCCUCUCUGAGCCCCGCCUCCUUCCUUGUCAGUGCGGUUGCUUUGAGGACCAAAAGACCGCUCUGAGGUGCAGCAAUUGCUCGAGGGAAGCACCGUUGAGCUGGAGCCUGGGUGAGGAGUCGCCACAGGUAGCUCUGCAGCAACUGGGAAGGAAAGAGAGCUGGAGAGAAAAAAAAAAAAGACUACACCUGGCUCAGCUGUACCGAAUCUGAAGGAAUCCAGGUGAAGGGGUUCCACACACAGAGCCCAGUGACCGGGAAGUCAGGCCUGCAUUAGAGGGUCCAAGCACUGCCCACUGGACUUGCCACAGGCAUCCAAAGUGAAUGAGCUCCCCAGUAGCACAUGCAGAAACAAAGCAGAACAGUGCAAAGCUAAGGCCUGCGUCUGAACGGCGAGCACAAGCAGAGCAGACAGAGCCAAAAAUUCAGGGAGGGGCCGGAGGCUGCUGCAGUCUGGGAGAAAGCUCCCAGCAAUGUGGGGAAAAGCUGGACACAGCAGCUGAACCGCCCUGCUCAAGGUGAAAUAAAAAGAGAUAUCUUCCAAUGGACCGUGUCUUCGCCAAAUUUAUAUCUUAGCCAAGUCUCACUCUGACAAGACUUGGAGAUUCUCAAAACUCUGAACUUGUGAUUUGACUCGGUAGGAAACGGAACUGCGGGAGAGAACACGGAAAGGCCGUAAAGGCAGAGGACGCCGGAGGGUCCUGAAUAAGGACGGGCUGUCAAGAGCUGAGGUUGAGAUCACUGGCUCUCACGCUUCCGUGUACAGGGGUUUCUCCAAAGCUGCCUUCAGCAUCUUGGAGUCUUUUAUUUAAACCGAAUGGCCCGAUGCCCUGAUUGAAGAUGAGGCAGCAAGUGCCGGCUGAGCUGAGAAGCGUGUGCAGGUGGGCUUCGUGGCACCGAGGCUCUGCUGGUGGUUCUCUGCUUCAGCAGACAAAGACAUUUUCCGACGCCCGGUUUCUCUCUGGAUACCAUUGUUUGCUGAAGGUUGAGACGCACACCUGGGCUGAAGCCUGAUGAAGGUAACACGGACUCACUUGAGACAUGACAGCCGCCCGGGUCCGCUCCCGCAUUGCCGCGUUGUCGAGGCACCAGGACCAGGGAGUGCGUGAAUGCAGCCGAGCGAGCCUCGCCACCAACGCAGGGCCAGGUGGCACACCAGGGCUCCCGAGGCAGCUGAGAGCAGGAGCGUUACCUGCAUUUCUGGGAGCAGACGCAGCCCUGACCAUGCCUGCCGCUCACACGUGGGCCCAGGGUUUCUUGUGCAGCAGAAACAGUGAGCAGGACACCAGCUCGGCCACAGCCUCUUGUACCACACAUCGGGGCUGAGCAGAGGUGUCCUCUGCGAUCGUGAGUCAGCACAGACACAGCAAGACCAUGUUCGGACCCCGAAAGUGCCAAACAGCCCCGUUCCCGGCAAUAUGAGCAACUGAUGCUUCCUCCACAAAACAACCUUUCACCUCACUCAUUUGUCCUGCCUCCUGGUUAAGAUUCACUGCAAUGCCCCUGCCUCCAUGUCCCCUAUUUCCCGACAGCAGCCUGAGCUGAGAACCUCCGACUCCCACCCGCAGUGGCCUGACAACAGCUUUGCUCAAAGCUCCUCUGCUGCUCGGAUUCUGGCCAGCGUGGCACCCAGGACUGGAGCUGGAGGCUGUGCUCUGCUGUUGGAAUAGCUCAGCCCCAGAGGAGAGCCAGGGGCGAGGCAGCCUCACUGAGACAGCAGCCCGGCUGAGAAGCCGCGGUCACUGGGAACUCCCAAAGAGCCCAGGCACGCAACCUGACACUGGACCCUGUGGCUGUGAAGAGCGACAGCCCUUGUCCCCAGCAGUCUGGACAGUGCUCUCCUGCACUCUGAGAUGAGAUCUUCAGGUAGCCCCUGGCUUUCUCCUGACACCUCCACAGCCAUCCACCUUCAAGGGGGUCUCAUGUGUGUGCACAGCUGUGCUCAACAGCCCAAGGCACCCCUCAGCCUGCCAGGCUGUGAGUACGGACAGGGAGGGCUGCCACUGGAGGGGCAGUGAUGGCAGGUGUGUGGUCAGGGGCUGUGGUAAUGCUGUGGGGUGGGGGCCCUGCUCUGCGGGGGGAGCCAUGAGGGGAAGCUUCCCUAGGGAGCAGGGGCUUGAGCUGAGACUUUGUUUCCCAGGCAGAAAGAAGCAGCUUUUGCAAAUCUCACACCUAUGAAACAUGGGGUGUGCUUGAGGAACAAAGCGUGGGUGUAGCCGGGACGUGCGCAGUGCUCCGGGCGGCGUGGAAGGGCUGCCGCUCUCCCAGUUCCUGCCCCACGUCCCUUCUGCCUCUGUUUCUGCUCUCUCCUCUCCGUCCCUGUCACUGACCCUCCUGCCUGUGUCCCUUCUAAGGGUCCCAGUGACUGCCUCGGGCCACCUGGCUGAUCCAGGACCAUCUCCCCUCUCAAGACUGUAACAUAAGAAUGUCUGCAAAGUCCCCUUAACCACACGGGGUGACAUAUUUGCAGUUUCCAGGGGUUAGGAGCUGCACGUCGUUGAGGGCCCUGACUCUGCCUCCAGGGCUGUGUGUGAACAGCAAACAUGGAACGCACAGGGCAACGCACCUGCCUCUUCACCAGCACUGUGAGCACAGUGCCAACCUCCUUUUUCUUUCCCAAACUGCCACUGAAUUUACACUACCAGGGAAGAACAAAGCAGGUUAGCCACUGAUGAUAUAGCACACCAAGCCAAGCCACUGGUCAACCUCGUGUCUGCAAGAAUUAGAGCGAGAAGGACCCACGGUGCCACCUUUGGGGCAGAGCCUUUGCCCUUCCCCCAGUGACAUCUUGCUCCAUUUACAGCACUGGGGAUUGCCCACAUGGCAGAGAGGCGCUGAGGCACAGCAUCCACACUGUGACACCAUGUGCUCCAGGAACGCCAGUGAGGAGCUCAAGGUCGCCAAGCCCAGCCAGAGACUGCAAGUGAGGCUCCCCGCUUCCCAGGGGAGCCGGGUCAUCAUAGCCCCACACAUUCUGCUUUCUAAUUUUGAAGUGACCUUCCCCUUCCAUGACAUGUAAUCGUGGAAGGAAGGCCGUGAGCUGGUAGAACGUUCUGAGUGUUGAUCCCAUGCCUGCCCUGCUGCUGGUGGCCAUUUGGGAGGAUUAAAUGGGACAGUGCCUGCAGAGCCACAGCCAUGGUGCCCCUUGCUUCUUGAGUAGCACUGAACAGAUGCCAGCUCCUUCCCUCUGGCAGGCCUGCGCUCUUCAGAGCUCACCUCUUGGGGCUUCGGCGGGGGGCUGACGCCAGUGACGAAUGGUGUUUCCUCUCCACCUGCAGGUUUCUGCUGCUCCCCUCCCAGAAUAGCUCAAGUAGGCUGUGACCUCGGCGAGCACCCUUGAGAGACUCUCGAGGCGCCUUGAGAAGUCACACACGAGGCUGGUGCAUCUGGGCUGGAUCCAUUAUUCAUGCACGCAGGUCUUGGCAAGCACAGUAAUUUAGAGUUUCUCGAAGCGCACGCUGCAGCAACCAUAAACUACGUUCCGUGUGCUUCAGGGAAAAAUUACCUUUCCCUUGCUGAAGCCAGGGUCACGGCAGAAAGCCUGCACAGAUGAAGCCACGGCUGAGGAGGAGAGGGAGGCGGUCCAGGCCUUUCAGAAAAGCCCUUGGAGACCUCACACUGGGAAGCAGCCCCGGUCACCUGCACGACCUCUGCAGCCUCGACUUCCUCCCUGGGAAAUGAGUCACCGACUUGCACACGUGCACCCCUCCACCCUCCCUUCUCCUCCCAUGAUCCCCGGAGUAACUGACUGCUCCCCCAAAUCACCUCAGAUGCUGCACGCCUGUCUCCCGUUGUUUCAGGAGCCAAAAACUGCCCAUGCAGCCCCUGGAACACGGAGACCGGAAUCCCUCUCACAUGUCUAUUUACCUCCAUCUUCAUAGCUCUCAUGAAAAAGCAUAGCUUUUAUGUCUUCAGAGAAUGUAAGUACGGAAGCACAGCUUUCUCCAGAAGACACAGCACUGAGGCAGCAAAUGAGCAGACACUAACAGAUCCCACUCAUGCUAAGCGGUGGAGAUAAACAUAAAGACAAAUAAAAGACAGGAAGCAGCAUCCGGUUUUAGAUUCUGGAGUGUGAUGAGGAUGAAGCACCUUGAGGAAUCUUUGAGGUCGCUGCCCGCUUCUGAUUCUGUCUUUUGCUUUCUGAACACGACACAUCAGUGUGAUUGCAUCCCCCUCCCCACCACAGUGCUGGAUUCUCAUUUCUAUUCUCCCCAAAGCCCAGCUUCUCUGCAGAAAUGAAGGAUGUGGCUCCACAGCGCACAGGCAGGCUGUAUGUGAGCUGGGAGGUGGCUCCUUCCACCGGGACACAUGGGGAUCUCUUGGCCAUGCGGGUCCCCUGUGGCCUGGCCCUACCUCCUGCCUGGGCUGGGUCCUGGGGCUCUCAGAGGCUUCCUGUUCCUUCAGGCCUGGCUGCCUCCUUCCUUCUGGCCCUCUCAGGACCUGGACCUGGCACUGUCUCAAGCCCUCCUUAUGUCACAGUUGUUGACUGGUGACAAGAGCAUCUGCGUAAAUGCAGACCCAAGGGAGGGAGAGGGGGCUGUGGCCUGAACACCACCUGGGACCCCAGCAGGUUGGCGAUGUCUUCUCAGGCGGCAGGUGGAGCCGAGGACAUGUCACAGGGUCCUGCUGCCUUCCCACCUGUGGGAGGUCUCCAGAAUGCAUUCCUGUCAGGGUGGGGACAGUGACAUCCAUGGGGCCCAGGGUGACAGCCAAGAUGCCUCCCUCAGUUUCCCAGAUCUCUGCUCAAUCUCUGUCCUGUUUAUGCAAAAACAGAUCAGUCUAUUGAUGGGCACCUGGCUGCACACUUUGGGAUUGCACCAAUGUCACUGAAUGGUUCACCUGAAAAGGGCUAAUUUUAUGUUAUGUGGAGUUUGCCUUUUCCCCCAUCGUACAAAGCAGCCUUUUGAAAUCUUUAAAUUUGUAAGGCUGUCUAGAACCUCAGAGGUCAUCUUCGUCAAUCCGCUCAUUCUUCCGAUGAGUAAACCGAGGCCACACCCUGAUCCUGUGGCUCUUUCAGAGUCUCCUGGGUGAUGAUCUGGCUCUUGUCCCCAUCAUCCCCUGCUCCCCACACUCUCCUAUUCCUUUGGGCAAAGGUUGGAGUUUGGAAGAGGCUGAAAUCUCCAGAACUGAGGCCUGGGGUCUAGGAACAGCGCUGGUCUUGCUGCACUUUUUGGAUUGUGUGUUUAUUCGUCUGGGUUGGGGGCCGGGAAAAUCAAUGUCGACAGCUGCAGCUUGCAGCAAUGCCUGAUAAAACCCAUUGAUCUCCA